rnacentral:rRNA from 1 species
UACAGAGGGUGCAAGCGUUGUUCGGAAUUACUGGCGUAAAGCGCGUGUAGGCGGCUUGGCAAGUCCUGUGUGAAAGCCCUGGGCUCAACCCAGGAAGUGCGCAGGAUACUGCCGAGCUGGAGUAGCGGAGAGGAUGGCGGAAUACCCGGUGUAGAGGUGAAAUUCGUAGAUAUCGGGUGGAACACCUGUGGCGAAGGCGGCCAUCUGGACGUUCACUGACGCUGAGACGCGAAAGCGUGGGUAGCAAACAGG